AUUGAACGCUGGCGGCAUGCUUUACACAUGCAAGUCGAACGGUAACAGGCCGCAAGGUGCUGACGAGUGGCGAACGGGUGAGUAAUGCAUCGGAACGUGCCCAGUCGUGGGGGAUAACGCAGCGAAAGCUGCGCUAAUACCGCAUACGAUCUAUGGAUGAAAGCGGGGGACCGUAAGGCCUCGCGCGAUUGGAGCGGCCGAUGUCAGAUUAGGUAGGUGGUGGGGUAAAGGAUCACCAAGCCAACGAUCUGUAGCUGGUCUGAGAGGACGACCAGCCACAGUGGGACUGAGACACGGCCCAGUCUCCUACGGGAGGAAGCAGGGGGGAAUUUUGGACAAUGGGCGCAAGCCUGGUCCAGCAAUGCCGGGUGCAGGAAGAAGGCCUUCGGGUUGUAAACUGCUUUUGUACGGAACGAAACGGUCCUGGUUAAUACCCGGGGCUAAUGACGGUACCGUAAGAAUAAGCACCGGCUAACUACGUGCCAGCAGCCGCCGCGGUAA
rnacentral:rRNA from 1 species